rnacentral:rRNA from 1 species
UACGUAGGGGGCAAGCGUUGUCCGGAUUUAUUGGGCGUAAAGCGCGUGUAGGCGGCCAGAUAGGUCUGCUGUGAAAACUCGAGGCUCAACCUCCAGCUGUCGAUGGAAACCAUCUGGCUAGAGUCCGGAAGAGGAGAGUGGAAUUCCUGGUGUAGCGGUGAAAUGCGCAGAUAUCAGGAAGAACACCCGUGGCGAAGGCGGCUCUCUGGGACGGUACUGACGCUGAGACGCGAAAGCGUGGGGAGCGAACAGG